rnacentral:rRNA from 1 species
GAUAGGCUAAUUAAGGGCGUAUGGGGAAUGCCUAGGCUCUCAGAGGCGAAGAAGGACGUGAUAAGCUGCGAAAAGCUACGGUUAGUGGCACAUACACUUUGAUCCGUAGAUAUCCCAAUGGGGCAACCCGGCAUAUUGAAGAUAUGUCAUCCGACCUAGUCGGAAGCAAACCCGGAGAACUGAAACAUCUAAGUACCCGGA